ensembl:snRNA U6 U6 spliceosomal RNA
GUGCUUGCUUCGGCAGCACAUGUACUAAAACUGGAACAACAUGGAGAAAAUUAGUAUAACUCCUGUGCGAAUGACAUGCAUAUUCCUGAAGCAUUCCGUAUUUUU